AUUGAACGCUGGCGGCAGGCUUAACACAUGCAAGUCGAACGAGUGGCGGACGGGUGAGUAAUGCUUGGGAAUCUCGCUUAUGGAGGGGGAUAACUACGGGAAACUGUAGCUAAUACCGCGUUCCAAAGUAUGAGCCCAUGUGGGAUUAGGUAGUUGGUGGGGGAAAGGCUCACCAAGCCGACGAUCUCUAGCUGGUCUGAGAGGAUGACCAGCCACACUGGAACUGAGACACGGCCCAGACUCCUACGGGAGGCAGCAGUGGGGAAUAUUGCGCAAUGGGGGCAACCUGACGCAGCCAUGCCGCGUGAAUGAAGAAGGCCUUCGGGUUGUAAAGUUCUUUCGGUAGCGAGGCGUUAACUACAGAAGAAGCACCGGCUAACUCCGUGCCAGCCGCCGCGGUAAUUC
rnacentral:rRNA from 1 species